UCUUGCAAUCCGUCCCGUAAUCGUGUAUAAUAGGACCAACGUCAUGAAAUACCCUCCGCAGGCAUUCGUGUUGAGGUUCCGGUCUCGCGCAAUGGAAGCCUGUGAACCAUGUCAGGCGGGGAACCGAGCAGCAUUAAGCGGGACGAAAUGUGCCGCGAGGUCCCCGGUUCGGAGCGGAUGCUUGCGGAGAGUAUUUUAUGAGACAGGA
rnacentral:SRP_RNA from 1 species